AUAACACUCCACGAUGGUGGCUUAGACCAAAGAAAUGCAUUUCUUUUACAAUUCUGCAGGAAGAAAGUCCCAGAACAAAGUACCAGAAGCCAACCACGUACACAGACAUCUUCAUAAGGAAUCAGAAAGGAUGAUAUGACAACCUAACAGAUAUCUAUGGGUGAAAAACUCUGUCCCAUGCUUCUGUCUUCAGAUUUAUCCGUGAGUCUAACAGUUGCUAUAAUUGGAUUUUUAAGCUUGUCACCUUUCACAUAAUUAUGUUUGCUUUCCCAAGUACGUUAAUGGGAGAGGUUUACAUGUCUCCGAACAGAAAUGACAAAGUUGUCCUGGGUUUGGAAGAGGAUGCUCACUGUUGUACAACUCAACUAUGGAAAGAGUGUUUGAAUCCAUUUGAGACAUUCCAAAGUUCACCUGUGACUAAUUGAAACCCUAAUAAAGACAAAACCGCUGACCUUGA